UACGUAGGGGGCAAGCGUUGUCCGGAAUCAUUGGGCGUAAAGAGCGUGUAGGCGGCCAGAUAGGUCCGUUGUGAAAACUCGAGGCUCAACCUCGAGACGCCGAUGGAAACCAUCUGGCUAGAGUCCGGAAGAGGAGAGUGGAAUUCCUGGUGUAGCGGUGAAAUGCGCAGAUAUCAGGAAGAACACCCGUGGCUAAGGCGGCUCUCUAGUACGGUACUGACGCUGAGACGCGAAAGCGUGGGGGAGCGAACAGG
rnacentral:rRNA from 1 species